rnacentral:rRNA from 1 species
AGCAGCCGCCCGGUAAUACGAAGGGUGCAAGCGUUAAUCGGAAUUACUGGGCGUAAAGCGUGCGUAGGCGGUGAGUUAAGUCUGCUGUGAAAUCCCCGGGCUCAACCUGGGAAUGGCAGUGGAUACUGGCUCGCUAGAGUGUGUCAGAGGAUGGUGGAAUUCCCGGUGUAGCGGUGAAAUGCGUAGAGAUCGGGAGGAACAUCAGUGGCGAAGGCGGCCAUCUGGGACAACACUGACGCUGAGGCACGAAAGCGUGGGGAGCAAACAGGAUUAGAUACCCGCGUAGUCCCUGUCUCUUAUACA